rnacentral:rRNA from 1 species
UACGAAGGGGGCUAGCGUUGCUCGGAAUCACUGGGCGUAAAGCGCACGUAGGCGGCUUCUUAAGUCAGGGGUGAAAUCCUGGAGCUCAACUCCAGAACUGCCUUUGAUACUGAGGAGCUUGAGUCCGGGAGAGGUGAGUGGAACUCCGAGUGUAGAGGUGAAAUUCGUAGAUAUUCGGAAGAACACCAGUGGCGAAGGCGACUCACUGGACACAUAUUGACGCUGAGGUGCGAAAGCGUGGGGAGCAAACAGG